GCCCCGCGCCUGUGCUGCGUUGGGCUGUGCGGGAGCGGUGCGUGGGGAGCACCGGCACUCGGCGCCCCGUGUCAGAUGCAGCACAGAUCCACCGCCGCAACGCCCCAGGAACAGGGGAGCUUUUUAAUCCCUUAAUCUGCUUCAUUACCGUGACUCCUGCGCGGUGAUAUCGCACCUUUUCUCUGCCCCAACCAAUGUGAAAUACAUAGGAUCGGUCUCACAACCCCGCUGCAAUACGACUGUUGCUGCACGUACUGGUUUGUUGGCUACGAUAUUUUACGUGUUUUAUACCGCACGUGCAAAUGUGGACUUCAUGGGAGCUCGUUCUCAGGGGGCUUCGCCACCAGCAGGAAGCACCUCCGGCUGUAACAGUCUGCCAGCGAACAUCACCCUGUUAGCACAGAACACGAGCCUCGUAGGAACCUUUCAGACAAAGGUGAAAAUGCACGAUCCGUGGCAGCAAAGCUAAUGAGCACAGGGGACCAUGAAGAAAAAUACCCUGUAAAAUGCCAAGAGUUACAUGGGCAAUGUACCGCUUUCUACGAGACUUCCUCUUUUCAUUCCGGAAGGCAGCAAACUUCUCACAGAAAAAAACAAACGUGGCUUUGCUUUAAGAGGUUCUGACUAUUAGCUGUACUGCGUGACUGUUCAGCCUGCAGUACUAUGCAGGAAGAAAAGCGUCCCUUCUCCCCUGCUGUGGAAUUAUUAAGAUCUCCACAACAAAGGAACAAAAGGAGCCCGGAGUUGCAGGAAGGAAUUGGAGUGAGUGGAUGGAAUGGAGAAGGAAGACACUGGAGGAGUGGAAUGGAUGCUAUCCUGAGGAACUAGAAUCUGUCUUCACCAGAAAAUUCUUGAGUGAUGCAGGGGAAGGUAUUUAAACCAAAAUUUUAAUUGUCUGCUUAAGUUAAAGGUCGAAUCUCCUUCCUGACUGCAGCUGAGGAAAAGAGGCCAGCUUUGUCCAGAACACAAAUGUUGGAGUCCUCCUAUCUCUCCCAGCUAAAAUUUCUGAAUUAAAUACAUAAAGAUAGAGAUAAUAUCCUCUCCCACAGCAUGCUUCUUCUUUUCUAAGUGGUGAACUCAGCACAUGUAGAAAGACAUUGGCACACGUACCAAGUUUAAAAGGUUGUUAGCAGACCUUCUGUUCUGAGCACAUAAAGCAAUAAACACUCUGAGAACACCAAAUGCCUCUCCAGACCUAGCAAAGGCAUGUGAGAUUGCACUUCCACCUCUGUGUAUCGCACCCAAAGAGCAGACAGUUCUCUGCGUUCCCAGCAGUGUACAGGUGCAACGCUCAGUUACAGUGGUGAUAGCAAUGUGGACAGUACAGAAACCUGCAAGGAAGUGAAUUAUUUAUUCUGUGGAUGCAACUCCGAGGCAGACAGCUGGCCUGAAAAAAUCAAUAGAAACCAUCAGGAUGUGGCUAAGUAAUAACACCGGGUCUCGGCUUAAUAAAACCCUUACCAGAGGCUGGUCUGGCACUCAGAGAGAUACAUACCAUCUGUGCAAUGAGCAGCAGCUCAGCUGCAUCAUCUGUAAGCUGCAGCACAUUGAACACCACAAACACCUUUCUGGCUGCAGGCUGUGUCAUUAGCAAAUCUAUUUCCAUUUCCUGCACGUGUUCUGAAAACAAAGGUCACACACUUUUCCAGCACACCACAAGUUUCUCCCUCUGCACAGUCAGUAAGGAUUUCUCCCCACAAGGCGAGGCGCCCCAGGUAAGGCAGACCGCCAAGGCCACGCAAAGCCCCGAGCGAGCGCGGAGCGGAAACGAGAACUCGAGGCGGGAUGGGGCGCGUCCGCCGCCAGGGGGCGCCGUAGCACAGAGCACUGCGGCGCGCUGCGGAGGGAGCGUCCCCUCCUGCACUGCGCCCCGCCUCAGUGCUGAGGAGCUCGCUCUUGCGCGGGGCCGCGUCCGCUAUAGAGCUGCUCCAAAAUUGUCUCCAGUUUACAACGCAGCGUUAAAAAUGCUGAGUGUCAAUGCAGAAAGUGAGAAGACUGUGGCAACUUCAUCCCCCACAUGAGAAGGGAAUCCUAAUGGCUCUAGUUCGUUUAUUCUGAGCGCUGUAGCUGUAGAAAAGAGUGGUAGUGGAAGGCAAAGAGAGCAGUGCAAUAAACGUGCAAGGAGCUGUAGUACCUUUACCAGAAUUCCUUUUUCUUUUUUUUCCCUCGCUAACUUUACAUUUUUCCACAUAACUCUGGGGGCAUCCUAUUAGCAAAGGAAUGCUUUAACUGUGAGCCAAUCUUUGCCCGUACUGUCAUGGCUUGGUCACACUGCAAGGUAUGAAUACAGGUGAAUGUGAUUA